rnacentral:rRNA from 1 species
AUACGGAGGGUGCAAGCGUUAAUCGGAAUUACUGGGCGUAAAGCGCUCGUAGGCGGUUUGUUAAGUCGGAUGUGAAAGCCCUGGGCUUAACCUGGGAAUGGCAUUCGAUACUGCAGAGCUAGAGUAUGGUAGAGGGAAGUGGAAUUUCCGGUGUAGCGGUGAAAUGCGUAGAUAUCGGAAGGAACAUCAGUGGCGAAGGCGGCAUGCUGGGCUAAAACUGACGCUGAGGUACGAAAGCGUGGGGAGCAAACAGGAUUAGAAACCCCAGUAGUCC